rnacentral:misc_RNA from 1 species
GCGUUCGAUUCUUAUUGUAUAGCUAUUACUUUUGUGCGAAAGUGCUCCAGCCGCCGAAAGAAUCUCACGUGCAAGCUUUCUUACGGGAUUUGUCGAUGGGAUAAAGUUAAACGAUUCUACGGUCAAUGAGUUUGAACUUUCUUGGUUUUACCAGAAUAAUUGAAAACGAAGAAAGACAUAUGAUAGCAACGAUAUCGAGCGGACAAGAAUGAUUUGCGGCAAAUCGCCGCAGUGACAGCGGGUUGGAAGAAAAAGAAAAUGCAACAACGACUGGUGUCAGUGUGCAUAUUUGAUUAAAUAUGAAGAGAAAGGGUCUCUGCGCAACGUUCUUUAUCUAUUCCCAUAUCGCACCUACUUACACGGUCUCAUUCGUACCCUCUACCAUUUUUGUGUUACAUGCGUCGUUAUCAAUUCAAUAUAGUAUAGUGAUUUCAAUUACAAGUAAAGUUUUCUAUGAAAUUACAAAUACAAUACGAAUUAGGAUAUGGUGUAAUUGUAAAUGAAGUAUGGAAUUUUACACUUUUACAUACUUCAAUCUAAGAAACUCGCAACACAAUUUAUGGAUAACUUAAAUAGAUAAAUUGCGCACAAACGAAAAGAGCAAAAAAGUCAUCAACAAUUUGCUUGUGUGGAUAAAGGUAUCGAUCAAGUACUUCAAUCUUCAUAAAUAUACUAAAACUAAGGCUUAAAACUAACGAAACAAGUUAAAAGUAAUAUUUGAAAGUAAGACUUAAGACUAAGAUUAAAAAUUAUACUUAAAACAAAGAGUAAGUCCCCUGUUGCUUCACGCCAUCCAACAAUCAGGCUUAAAGUUAACGUAAUAUAGAUCUUAGAACUAAAACCUAUUUAAAUGUAAAACUAAACUAAAAAUAGAUAUUAGAUAGAUAUCAAUCUAAUGUGCAUUAGGACGUGGCUAUACUGGCAGCUUUUCAUAUCAAAGACUGUAACAUAGAACGAAAUUUAAGAAAUUAAAUUAUAUAACACAGGUACCCCACGAUAUCCCUGCAAUAUAUCCCUGCAAUAUCUCUCUACAACUGGUGCUAAUAAUUUAUUAACGAAUAUCUAUUGUAUGAUUAAUUAAAGCUAUAACGCAUGCAUUGCACGGUGUAGGUUUUUAAGCUGAGAGUGAAAACUAAUACUUAAACCUAAAACUUAAAAGGACGCAUACAUUACGCAACAACUAUCUCCCACGCUACGUUAUAAGAACAUUGUACAAUAAUUCGAUGACAGCAUUCAGUAUCACAAGAGACCUCCAAGUUUCAACGAGGGGCUCUAGGAUUGACCAUCACACGAUUUUUGUCUGGCCAUUCGAAACUUACACAAUCCACCGUCGAAGCUGCCGACUGAUGAUACUGCGGUAGAUUAGUCAAGGAUCGAGAUAAUGUAAAGAAAAGCAAACAUUACAAAUUUUCAA